CCGUAUAUAAUUACAAAAAUAAAACUACAUUUGCAUCCCUUUUCAUACGUAAGUUUCAUAAUAAUAAUGACAUUUUGUUAAGAAAAAAAAAAUUAGAUGAUACAGAAAGUAAUUCAUAUAUUUUAAUUGGCUUAAAUAUGGAAAUGGUCCCUGCAAAUAUCUGGCAUUUUGAUUUUAGUUCCUAUAAAAAUAUUUUUUUGGUUUUAGUCCCUGCAAAUAUAGAAUAUUUGGUUUUGGUCCUUGGUAUUUUGUUUUAAUCCUUGUAAAAUCAUUUCAUAUUGAAAUUGGUCUCUAUAUAUUCAUUUUAGUCCUCAUUUUGAGGUACUAAAAUCAAAUAUUCUAGAUAUUAUAAGGACCAAAUCCAAUAUGAAUCAAUUUUACAAAGACUAAAACAAAAUAUCAAUGACCAAAACCAAACUUUUUAUAUUUGCAGGGACUAAAACAAAAAAAUAUUUUUACAGGGACUGACCAAAAAAUAUUUUUACAUGACUAAAACCAAAAAAUAUUUUAAUCAUUUUUUAAUAUAACAAAACAAUUAACAAAAAUUUAAAAAUUUUCAAUGAUAAAAAGAAAAUGAAAUAGAAGAAAGAUUAAAGAAACAAUAUGAAACAAAAAGAAAAUAGAACUCUAAAUAAAAGAAAACCAAAACAUUCUCUCCCAUUUUCCAAAGACACGUGUCAUUGAUUUAAUGGAAUGGUUGUUAAAGUCAAAAAGAAAGGAUGGCAGUGGUGUUUAUAAUUUAAAAACAGUGGUAUUUUGGUAUAUAAUUAUUUUAGUAGUGCUACAGUGGUAAAAAAAAGCCUCAUAUUUAAGCCAUUUUAAUUUUACACUAAAGGUAAGUGUGAUUGUGAAUAAGUUUUUUGUUUAUUCUAUCUAUGUUAGACUCUUUUGCUGUGCAACCAAAAAACUAUUUUCUCUUAUGGUUUUUUAUUUUCUCUCUGUUCUUUCUCAUGUUAGUAAGAUUCAUUUGUGACAAACAAAGCUCAGAAUAAAAUUGUGACGAAAUAAAGAAUCCUUAUAAAUUGUAGGGUCUCUCUUCCAACCAACAAGAGGCAGCUUAGCCAAAGCUGCUAUGAUGUUGGUCAAGGGCCUAUGCAGUUUAUGCUUUGGACAAAAAAAAAAUACUCCAUUUAUAAGAUAGUCACAUUUAUAAGCUGCAGCAUUUGAACUGAUGACCAGGUCUCCAUUCAUUAAUUGAUUGAUUAUAUAGAUAGGUAAGACAUUUUAGUCAUAAAUUUUUCUUAACUACAUCAAUGUUCCCCAACUCAUACUUUCACAAUACAUUCAACACAGCCUCAAGCAUUAACAAAUUACCUGCCUUGUAUGCUUCAUUCAACUCACAUUCACCAACAAUUUCACUAACAACAGGCCUCUGAAAUGACUUUAGUGAGUACUGACCAUUUGCAAAUGAUUAUUCAACCGUAAAGAGCGCAUUUGCAAGAGAAUAAUACAUAAAGAGCUUGAAUCUAAGACAGGUUUUUCCUCAAUUCACUACUCUUUGCUACAAGAUCAAUGACUGGAGAAUGAAAGUUUGUAAAUCAUUCAUUACAAAUAUUAGAUAUUCUCCUUCUUCAUAACUUCUGCACCUUGUCACAAUCAAGACACUCUUAACACUUUGAAAGAUCAUUUGACACAUAAACCUACUAGUGCUUUUCAGUACACUACCAUAUGCUAAAUUCUCAGACACCAGAUGCAAGAGAAUCAAGAAACCCAAGAUGAAGACUAAUGAAAUUUUGAAAAUUAACUCUAUUAGCAGUGUAUGAAGAUGUUUGUUCAGUUUAUUUUCAAUUUCUACUUCAUUUUCAGUUUAAGCAGUGCUUUCAUGGUCUUUGAUGCAAUAUCUGGAUUCUGGAUAGUGAUAUGACUGAUAUAUGCUUCUGAUUCCAACAAAAGUAUUACAUCAUUUGUCAAGGAUAAUUUGACUGAGAUACCCCAUACUGUGGAGUUAAGAAUAUCUAAACAAACAACUCAGUACACUUUUCAGAAAUAUUAUCAGAAUCAAGCUAAUAUUAAUUGACAUGAAUUCUUCCAAAUAAACACUCAGAAAGGUAAUUCUCUGCAUAGAGAAAAAUUCAAGGAAAUUUCAAGCACAUAUUUUAGAGUAGGAUUACUAGAAAGAAAUGUAUUCCAAAAUCAUGUAGAAUAAGUUCUGGAAAGGCAUUUUUCUGAAACGUAUUCCAAAUUCUCUAAGGGCAUUUUUCCAGCAGAGGUCAGUUUCAUGAAUAAUUAUGAAGUUUACCUGUGAUUCCAAGCUUUCCUAUGUUUGUACUUAUCUUCUAUUUGAUUUAGAGAUCUUAAAUUUUACUCUAGGAAGUCCCCUUCCUCAAAAAUCAUCAGCAGUUCCUCUUUAGAAACAAAGAUCUUCCUGCUUAUCUAUCUAAGAACUCACCAUCAUCCAAAACUACUUCUCUCUAGAGUGCUGUUUAGAGUACUCAACUCAACAGUUUAACAUCUUGGAUCCCAACCAUUUUACAAUUAUAACAUUAUUAUGAAUGAACCAAAAUAAAGUAUAAACACCUAUAAUUACACUAUGUAACUUUUUAACCCACACUUUUCCUUCAUUAUUCCAGCCUAAAUCCCAAACUUAUCCUGCGAAAACUUAUCCUGCCACCAUGCCCGACUUUGUCUCAUUCUUAUAUAAUGAUACAAAUUUUGAAGAAAAAAUUGCAACGACUCUUACACUAUCCCAGAUCAACAUUUGGUACCUUGUGUUGCUAACAAAAGCAAUGCCUAUAACUUCUCAUUGAUACAACUAUGAUAAAAGCCUUGUAACUCUAUUGACAACACACUAAAAGGUUCACAUGAUCACAGAAAACAAACGUUCCUAAAAACUACACAGCAUUUAGUUAAGCCAACAGAAUAUCAAAGUUUGACUUCACAAGAAAACCCCAAAUUGAAAUUCAUAACUUCACAUGAAAACAAGAAGCAAAUCAAAUCCAUAACAAAAACAGUUAAAGAACACACUCCAGAAGUUUGACUUUGACAUAUAUCAAGAUCAUAAUUUAUCAUCAUUAUUUGUAUUGCAAAUUCAAAAUCAACAACAAAAACAACAAUACUAUGAACAACAGCUAUGAUACAGAUUACAACAAAUAUGCAAAUUGACCCAAAAAUCACAAUAUCAUAGGAAAAUGAUAUUGAUCAAUCACCCAACAUGCAUUCACCGAGUACACAUCAUC
rnacentral:lncRNA from 1 species